rfam:Schistosoma mansoni, Puerto Rico, WGS project CABG01000000 data, contig: 0013
AUCCAGCUGUCGAGUCCCAAAUAGGACGAAUAUCAUGUCCUGGAU